AUCCAGCUGACAAGUUCCGAAUAAGACGAAACACAUGUCCUGUAU
rfam:Schistosoma mansoni strain Puerto Rico chromosome W, complete genome